GCCGGGGUGGCGAAACUGGUUUACGCGCGGGACUUAAAAUCCCGUGGGGUUAGCGCCCCGUGUGGGUUCGAAUCCCACCCCCGGCACCC
rnacentral:tRNA from 1 species